GAUGAACGCUGGCGGCGUGCCUAAUACAUGCAAGUCGAGCGAACGGACGAGAAGCUUGCUUCUCUGAUGUUAGCGGCGGACGGGUGAGUAACACGUGGAUAACCUACCUAUAAGACUGGGACAACUUCGGGAAACCGGAGCUAAUACCGGAUAAUAUUUUGAACCGCAUGGUUCAAAAGUGAAAGACGGUCUUGCUGUCACUUAUAGACGUAUCCGCGCUGCAUUAGCUAGUUGGUAAGGUAACGGCUUACCAAGGCAACGAUGCAUAGCCGAGCUGAGAGGGUGAUCGGCCACACAGGGACUGAGACACGGUCCAGGCUCCUACGGGAGGCAGCAGUAGGGAAUCUUCCGCAAUGGGCGAAAGCCUGACGGAGGAACGCCGCGUGAGUGAUGAAGGGCUGCGGGUCGUAAAACGCUGUUAUUAGGGAAGAACAUAUGUGUAAGUAACUGUGCAAAUCUUGACGGUACCGAAGCAGAAAGCCACGGCUAACUACGG
rnacentral:rRNA from 1 species